ensembl:lncRNA
GGGAGACCAGAACUACUUUGUUGCCUGACUUUGUUUCAAAGACGUCCUACAGGCUCUGCCGAACUUUCUUAGACGGAACCACUGUCUAGGGUACUCCCUCCCAUCUUCCCCUCUCUGCCCCACUGGGGAUGAGACUCACGUCGAGGUCUGACGGCUCUCCCAGCCUCUCAUAGAUCCCACCUCCCUUUUUACCUCCCACCCUUUUCACGCAGGCAUGUCCCCCGAGAAAAAAAUCCUUGCAAGUUUAAUCUGUUCUUGAGGCCCCAACCCCCUCUGUUCCCAGUCGUGGCUGUCCCAGGUCCUGGUCCUGGUCGACAGUGGCGGACCACUGAGCCACACCUGUCCCUUUCCCAGGCCCGGCCCCCGCCUUAGGGCUGCAUCUCUCCGCGUGUCAGCUCAUCAAACCUGCACAUCUGAACUAUCGCUCCUGAUGACAAAGUUAGAUUGGGGGCCAGUGGGGUCGUUGCAGGUGUGGACCAGGCAGGAGAGGCUUGUUUAGCAUCACUAUGGAAACCCCAGGCACCCAUCUUGGAAAGGUGUUUUAAAAUGGCCGGGUCAGACGCUCAAGGGGCGGAGUCAGUAGAGAGGGGGCAGGGAAAUUCUCUGCCCCUCCCCCCGUGCUUCCGGGCAGGACUGGUGCGGAGCUCUUCAUUUCUCCUCACGCCAGCAGCAGCAGGUCCAGGGCCGUCCCGACUCCCGGAGAGAGAGCUCGGAGUUCAGGGGCUUGCGGGCUUCGACCCGAUGGUGUGAAGUGAGAAUGUCAACUUUUCUGAGCCCCAAUUUGUUUUUCUUCUGCACACUUGGGACAUAUCCUGAGUGACGCUGGACAGAUGCAGGUGGGAUGGGGUGAGAGGAUGGCAAGAGUUGGAAGGAAGGACCGUGGCUGGGUGGGUCCCUCUGGGACAGAGUAGGGCAGGCACAGCUCUAGGGACAUUUCACAGGAAGGAAUGCGGGGGGUGGGCUGCCAGGACGUCACAAGGGUCCCAUUGUGACGCCCCCCCCCCCCAGCAAAGCUGGGGAUUGGCCCAAGGAGCGGAGGGGGAGGGGCAGAUAGGAGGCUGGUUGCCAGGGCCUGAGCCCAACAGGGAGACGACGGGACAGAGUGGUGGCACUCUGGCUCCAGCUCCUCCUCCAGGCCCCUUCAUCCUGACCCUUUCACAGCCUCCUCUAACCAGGACUCCGACUUCCCUCUCCGUCUCCUCUAUCCGGCUCCAGGCGGGCCCCUCCAGGCCCAGCAGAAGCACGGGUCUGUGGACAGGGUGCGGCUGGCAAAGGAUCAGUGGACAGGGUGGGGCUGGCUGCACCACGCGAAUGAGACCUGCCAUAGGGAGACCCGACGCAGGGGCAGAGCGAAGAUGGGGCCUGCACAAAUCUGGCUCCGAUGAGGACUCACCAACCAUCCGGCGUCCUCUCCUGGGUCUCUGGCCCCACGGCCCCACGCUCGGGUUAGGCCUCCAGUUGUUGCCCACUGGCCUCCUCCAGCUUCUCUUCUCCUCCAGCUUCUCUCCUCCUCCAGCUUCUCUCCUCCUCCUCUCUUGUCUGCUCUUGAAUUUCUUUAAAAAUUUCCCUGCCUCCAGGCUCGUUUUUGACUUACCUGCUGAUCAGUCCCUGGAUAUUCACAUCUGCCUGGGGUCACCAAGUCAAGAUGACCGUGGUGGGGAUGGAACUCUGAGUUUCCUGGACCACAGUGCAGGUGAAAAAUGUACCUUAUCAGAGCGAAAAGGAAUGGUCUUAUCACAAGAUCAUUUUGAAAAUGGGCCUCAGGGGACACAUGUCCCUUAAUCCAGUCUGUGAGGUCCUACAACACCAUACUCUGCAAAUUCUAGCAGAGAGGUUGCAGUGAUUUGGGAGAGGCCUCAAAAUCAUGACUGCACCUCCUGGCACAGUUUACCCGAGUGAUGCUCCCUGGCCCCCAGGUGUGUGCAAACAGCCCCCAAGGAUUGCACCACCACUCCUCAGAUGGCAGGACAGCAGCCUCCUUCGGCCUGGAGAGCUUCGCCUCCGUCACUGGUGCCCACCUGGGAAAUCUCAGACUGCUCUGCAAAGGUGCAAUUGGAUGCCCACUCUGAAAGGACAUUUUAUCCCGUUACUGUCCCUCUGGAAUCAUUCACUAACCAAACAUAUAUAAACCGACCUGUCUUCUGUGUGUGGCUUCCUAUGUGCCUGAUAUUGAGGAUGAAAAAUAAAGGAGAUGUGCAGUUCCAACAGUCAUUGUAUCAUCACUGAUUAUAUUAUUAUUCCUCAAAAUUCAUCAUGGUUCCACUGAAUAUUCUGUUACCUGAAGGCCAAAUUACAAAAUUAAACUCUGGCAAUUUGUAUAUAAAAUAGUGGAAGGAGAGAAAAGAUCACAAUGGUGAGUAUAUACUAUAAACACAUAUGUAUUACAAGCAAAGAAAAAAUAUGCAGAGCUACUGUCACACUUGUUUUUGUAAUUUGUCGUGAAGCCACAAUUGAUCUGUGGCUUCCUUCUUUCACUGCCCAUUCCAUAUUUCCC